GACGAACGCUGGCGGCGUGCUUAACACAUGCAAGUCGAACGGAAAGGCCCUGCUUUUGUGGGGUGCUCGAGUGGCGAACGGGUGAGUAACACGUGAGUAACCUGCCCUUGACUUUGGGAUAACUUCAGGAAACUGGGGCUAAUACCGGAUAGGAGCUCCUGCUGCAUGGUGGGGGUUGGAAAGUUUCGGCGGUUGGGGAUGGACUCGCGGCUUAUCAGCUUGUUGGUGGGGUAGUGGCUUACCAAGGCUUUGACGGGUAGCCGGCCUGAGAGGGUGACCGGCGACAUGGGGACUGAGAUACGGCCCAGACUGCUACGGGAGGCAGCAGUGGGGAAUAUUGCACAAUGGGCGGAAGCCUGAUGCAGCAACGCCGCGUGCGGGAUGACGGCCUUCGGGUUGUAAACCGCUUUCGCCUGUGACGAAGCGUGAGUGACGGUAAUGGGUAAAGAAGCACCGGCUAACUACGUG
rnacentral:rRNA from 1 species